GUGGUUGUGGCGAAGUGGUUAACGCACCGGAUUGUGGCUCCGGCACUCGUGGGUUCAAGUCCCAUCAGCCACCCCA
rnacentral:tRNA from 2 species